rnacentral:rRNA from 1 species
GUGGGGAAUUUUGGACAAUGGGCGCAAGCCUGAUCCAGCCAUGCCGCGUGCAGGAUGAAGGCCUUCGGGUUGUAAACUGCUUUUGUACGGAACGAAAAGACUCCUUCUAAUAAAGGGAGUCCAUGACGGUACCGUAAGAAUAAGCACCGGCUAACUACGUGCCAGCAGCCGCGGUAAUACGUAGGGUGCAAGCGUUAAUCGGAAUUACUGGGCGUAAAGCGUGCGCAGGCGGUGAUGUAAGACAGAUGUGAAAUCCCCGGGCUCAACCUGGGAACUACAUUUGUGACUGCAUCGCUGGAGUGCGGCAGAGGGGGAUGGAAUUCCGCGUGUAGCAGUGAAAUGCGUAGAUAUGCGGAGGAACACCGAUGGCGAAGGCAAUCCCCUGGGCCUGCAAUGACGCUCAUGCACGAAAGCGUGGGGAGCAAACAGGAUUAGAUACCCCUGUAGUCC